GAAAACAUGAUGUGCAGAAGUACAAUGUAUACAACAUUUAUUAGGAUGUGGUAGCGUGUUAUUGUUUUUUAAUCAAAUGGACUACACUUAAAUAGAGCGAAAGAUUAUGCGAUCAUCAAAUGCAAAUCAAAGAUAAAGGAUCUUUGAUGUGAAGAAACUGAUGUAAUAGAAAAAUACAACAAGAUAUCACACCAUACCUAGAUUUCACCAAGUGCUGCUUCUCUAUUUUAGUUGUUUUAUUUUUCAGCAAUUAACAAACAUAUCUUGGACAAUGAAUUACACAUGUAUCGUACUAAAAAUAAAAUAAUAAAUAAGUGACGACGAAA